GGCGGCGGCCUAGUUUGCCUCACAUGCAAGUUGAGCGACGAACCAGGGCUUGCCCUGGGGCAAAGCAGCGAACGGGUGAGUAACACGUGGGCAACCUGCCCCGAUGACUGGGACAACCCGAGGAAACUCGGGCCAAUACCGGAUGUAGUGCCCGGCCACAAGGCCCGAUCACCAAAGGAAGCUUUCGGCCCCGCAUCGGGAGGGGCCCGCGGGCCAUUUAGCUAGUUGGUGAGGUAACGGCUCACCAAGGCAACGAUGGGUAGCUGGUCUGAGAGGACGAUCAGCCACACUGGGACUGAGACACUGGCCCAUACUCCUACGGGAGGCAGCAAUGGGGAUUUAGCGCAGCGCGAAGCUGAGACGCAGCAACGCCGCGUGUGGGAAGAAGGCCUCCGGGUUAGUCAAACCACUUUAGGAGGGACGAAGGCCGGCCGGUUAAUAGCUAGGUUCCGGCUGACGGUACUUUCCAGAAGCAGCCCCGGCUAACUACGUUGCCAGCAGCCCGCGGGUAAUAACUUAGGGGGCAAGCGAGUCCGGCCGGANUCAUUNGGGCGUAAAGCGNACGUAGGCGACCCGA
rnacentral:rRNA from 1 species